UCUAAUAUAGCUUAUAAAAGCAUUUGAAUGUUAAUCAAAAGUUGAAAAUUAAAUCUAUUAGAG
rnacentral:tRNA from 1 species